CCCCGCGGGCCUCCCAAGGCAGCCCCCUGUUAGCCCGACCGGCUUCGAAGCCCGCGCCGGUUGCGGAUCCUCCGCCGCGCCCACCUGUCAGCGCCUCGGCCGGCCGGGGCUCCCGCCGCAUGCAAGCAGCGAGGCGAGGUCGCGCUGAGGCCUGGCCAUGCCACGGACGGCCGGGCCUCACCCUGCCGCUCUCUCGCCGUCCAGAGGCCCCUGCUCCACACCUGGGUACCCUGGGUCCUGACUCAGGGCAGCUGGGUGAGAAGCUAACGGCUUGAAGGAACAGGGCUACAAGGGGAGUUUGUGCUGGGCCUGGCGUCCCAGGCUGUGGACUGGAACUGGACAUGAGAACCCCCCCUACACCCUCCCAAGUCAAAGACACUCCAAAAAGA
rnacentral:lncRNA from 1 species